CAGCCGCCGCGGUAAUACGUAGGUCCCGAGCGUUGUCCGGAUUUAUUGGGCGUAAAGGGAGCGCAGGCGGUUUAGUAAGUCUGAAGUUAAAGGCAUUGGCUCAACCAAUGUAUGCUUUGGAAACUGUUAGACUUGAGUGCAGAAGGGGAGAGUGGAAUUCCAUGUGUAGCGGUGAAAUGCGUAGAUAUAUGGAGGAACACCGGUGGCGAAAGCGGCUCUCUGGUCUGUCACUGACGCUGAGGCUCGAAAGCGUGGGUAGCGAACAGGAUUAGAUACCCCGGUAGUCCCUGUCUCUUAUACA
rnacentral:rRNA from 1 species